rnacentral:rRNA from 1 species
GGCCCAGAUCGUUUACCGUGAAAAAAUUAGAGUGUUCAAAGCAGGCAGAUUCAAUUUUCUGCCACCGAAUACAUUAGCAUGGGAUAAUGGAAUAGGACCCUGUCCUCCUCUUUUCAGUUGGUUAAUUUACGUGUGAGGAUCAGGGUAAUGAUUAAUAGGGAUAGUUGGGGGCAUUAAUAUUUAAUUGUCAGAGGUGAAAUUCUUGGAUUUAUGAAAGAUUAACUUCUGCGAAAGCAUCUGCCAAGGAUGUUUUCAUUAAUCAAGAACGAAAGUUAGGGGAUCGAAGACGAUCAGAUACCGUCGUAGUCUUAACCAUAAACGAUGCCGACCAGCGAUUAGGAGACGUUGAAUACAAAACACCACUUUAUAUAAUUCAGUACAUGGUCAGCAAUGGCUGUGUAUUGUUUGUAUAAAGUUUCAGGUGAAUGACUCCCCUAGCAGCUUGUGAGA